UACGUAGGGCGCAAGCGUUGUCCGGAAUUAUUGGGCGUAAAGAGCUCGUAGGCGGUUUGUCGCGUCUGCUGUGAAAACCUAAGGCUCAACCUUGGGCUUGCAGUGGGUACGGGCAGGCUAGAGUGCGGUAGGGGUGACUGGAAUUCCUGGUGUAGCGGUGGAAUGCGCAGAUAUCAGGAGGAACACCGAUGGCGAAGGCAGGUCACUGGGCCGAUACUGACGCUGAGGAGCGAAAGCGUGGGGAGCGAACAGG
rnacentral:rRNA from 1 species